rnacentral:rRNA from 1 species
CACAGGCAAGUCGAGGGGCAUCGGGAUUGAAGCUUGCUUCAAUUGCCGGCGACCGGCGCACGGGUGCGUAACGCGUAUGUAACCUACCUAUAACAGGGGCAUAACACUGAGAAAUUGGUACUAAUUCCCCAUAAUAUUCGGAGAGGCAUCUCUCCGGGUUGAAAACUCCGGUGGUUAUAGAUGGACAUGCGUUGUAUUAGCUAGUUGGUGAGGUAACGGCUCACCAAGGCAACGAUACAUAGGGGGACUGAGAGGUUAACCCCCCACACUGGUACUGAGACACGGACCAGACUCCUACGGGAGGCAGCAGUGAGGAAUAUUGGUCAAUGGACGCAAGUCUGAACCAGCCAUGCCGCGUGCAGGAAGACGGCUCUAUGAGUUGUAAACUGCUUUUGUACGAGGGUAAACUCACCUACGUGUAGGUGACUGAAAGUAUCGUACGAAUAAGGAUCGGCUAACUCCGUGCCAGCAGCCGCGGUAAUACGGAGGAUUCAAGCGUUAUCCGGAUUUAUUGGGUUUAAAGGGUGCGUAGGCGGUUUGAUAAGUUAGAGGUGAAAUCCCGGGGCUUAACUCCGGAACUGCCUCUAAUACUGUUAGACUAGAGAGUAGUUGCGGUAGGCGGAAUGUAUGGUGUAGCGGUGAAAUGCUUAGAGAUCAUACAGAACACCGAUUGCGAAGGCAGCUUACCAAACU